rnacentral:rRNA from 1 species
UACAGAGGGUGCGAGCGUUGUUCGGAAUUAUUGGGCGUAAAGAGCUCGUAGGCGGUCUGUCGCGUCUGGUGUGAAAAUCCAGGGCUUAACCCUGGACCUGCAUCGGGUACGGGCAGACUAGAGUGCGGUAGGGGAGAUCGGAAUUCCUGGUGUAGCGGUGAAAUGCGCAGAUAUCAGGAGGAACACCGGUGGCGGAAGGCGGAUCUCUGGGCCGUAAACUGACGCUGAGGAGCGAAAGCAUGGGGAGCGAACAGG